rnacentral:rRNA from 1 species
CCUACGGGAGGCUGCAGUAGGGAAUUUUCCACAAUGGGCGAAAGCCUGAUGGAGCAACGCCGCGUGCAGGAUGAAUGCCUUUGGGUUGUAAACUGCUUUUAUAUGUGACGAUUAUGACGGUAGCAUAUGAAUAAGGAUCGGCUAACUCCGUGCCAGCAGCCGCGGUCAUACGGAGGAUCCAAGCGUUAUCCGGAAUUACUGGGCGUAAAGAGUUGCGUAGGUGGCAUAGUAAGCGAGUAGUGAAAGCGUGUGGCUCAACCAUACAUCCAUUACUUGAACUGCUAAGCUAGAAGACGAGAGAGGUAGAUGGAAUUCCCAGUGUAGGAGUGAAAUCCGUAGAUAUUGGGAGGAACACCGAUGGCGUAGGCAGUCUACUGGCUCGUUCUUGACACUAAGGCACGAAAGCGUGGGGAGCAAACGGGAUUAGAUACCCCAGUAGU